rnacentral:rRNA from 1 species
GACGAACGCUGGCGGCGUGCUUAACACAUGCAAGUCGAACGGAAAGACCCUGCUUUUGUGGGGUGCUCGAGUGGCGAACGGGUGAGUAACACGUGAGUAACCUGCCCUUGACUUUGGGAUAACUUCAGGAAACUGGGGCUAAUACCGGAUAGGAGCUCCUGCUGCAUGGUGGGGGUUGGAAAGUUUCGGCGGUUGGGGAUGGACGCGCGGCUUAUCAGCUUGUUGGUGGGGUAGUGGCUUACCAAGGCUUUGACGGGUGGCCGGCCUGAGAGGGGGACCGGCCACAUUGGGACUGAGAUACGGCCCAGACUCCUACGGGAGGCAGAAGUGGGGAAUAUUGCACAAUGGGCGGAAGCCUGAUGCAGCAACGCCGCGUGCGGGAUGACGGCCUUCGGGUUGUAAACCGCUUUCGCCUGUGACGAAGCGUGAGUGACGGUAAUGGGUAAAGAAGCACCGGCUAACUACGUG